rnacentral:rRNA from 1 species
GACGAACGCUGGCGGCGUGCUUAACACAUGCAAGUCGAACGGAAAGGCCCUGCUUGCCGGGUACUCGAGUGGCGAACGGGUGAGUAACACGUGGGUGAUCUGCCCUGCACUUCGGGAUAAGCCUGGGAAACUGGGUCUAAUACCGGAUAGGAGCCAUUUUUAGUGUGAUGGUUGGAAAGUUUUUUCGGUGUAGGAUGAGCUCGCGGCCUAUCAGCUUGUUGGUGGGGUAAUGGCCUACCAAGGCGGCGACGGGGAGCCGGCCUGAGGGGGUGGCCGGCCACAUUGGGACUGAGAUACGGCCCAGACUCCUACGGGAGGCAGCAGUGGGGAAUAUUGCACAAUGGCGCAAGCCUGAUGCAGCGACGCCGCGUGGGGGAUGACGGCCUUCGGGUUGUAAACUCCUUUCGCUAGGGACGAAGCUUUUUGUGACGGUACCUAGAUAAGAAGCACCGGCUAACUACGUG